rnacentral:lncRNA from 1 species
UUUGGAAUCACAGUCAAGCUUUGCUAAAUGCCUUUAGAAAUUGCCAUUGGAUUCUAGUGUAAGGAUAUGUGGAGCGUGAGGCUGUUUAUUCCUUGAAGAAAAAAUGUCUGACUAAGGGAUUCAUGAAAAAAUCAGGGAAACAAAGGGGGAGGGGGAAGGAAAAAAACAAACACAUUUACAGUCAGAGAACCUGAUCAAUUGGUGGAAACAAAGACAAUGACCAGUUACAGUUGUGCUAAUCGAUAAGAGAGGGAAUGUGGGGACGUUUAUUUCAGCAAGGCUGUCUGAAUGAGGAUUUCUAAAUUGGGAUAAGAAGAAAACGAAGGCCAAGCAAUAAGCAAAAUGUGGAGACACAGACCUGACAGAGCAAUAAAGGAGGCAAUGACAAGAAACAAACCUCCCAGUGGUCCUAGGCCGGAGUGGCUGGAGGGGACCGUGUUUGCCCCUCACCUCACAGAUUCACACGGUGUUGAAGUAAACCUGUAACUCUAAACACCUUAAGUAAAAUGAAUACUUCCCGAACUAUUCUGUAUCAGGUCUUUUUUUUUGCUUUCGACUUGACUUUAUCUACUGUAAUUUCAGGGAAACCUCUCUGGAUGUCAUAGGGCAGAGGCCAAGUUCACUUCUCUUUGGCACCUGUGUGUGUGCUUCCUUCUCAAAGUAGCCAUCAUGCCUGAGUGGCACCUGCUACCUAAUUCUGGGGCUUAUAAAAUCUUGAGCACAAGUUUCUAUAUUCGGAGCCAGCAGGGGACAGGGAGAUGGGAAAAGUGAGCCCCAGCUGCAGAAAGCACCCAGGUAGCUUCGAACCUAAGAUGACUUCUUGGGCUCAGGCUUCUUAGUUCUGGCUCAGGAAGCACAGAAGCCGUAUUGGUUUGUCUCCAACCACAAGGUGUUGAUGCCCCACAAACACGGCAUAGUUUCUCUGUUACCAUGGUGUAGUUUGCCCACACAGAAGCUGGACUGUGGUCCAGAGUUUGCCCUCAGACCAGCUUUGCUUGACCAGACAGUGCUGCUCCUGCGGUGCAUUAACCUGAAACAUGAGGACACAUGGUACUUGGCAAAACCAACACACGGUACAAAACUCACUCCGCUGAGUCAAGAGACCAAGUGAUGCUGGGCUGGAUGCCAGCUAUCUCCCCAGGGCUGGUCCUGGAGCUGGCAUCGACACUGCAAUUGUGUGCUCUGGCUACAUUAGCAGAAAUAUGACUGAUUGACCUUGACCAUGAGUGAUUUGGAGAGUAUUUGUGCUGUCAAGGAAUGGGAAAACAGACAUUUGGCAUGAAAGAAUAUGGCAACUCAACUUUUAGCUCCAACCACUUUUGAAAUAAGACGUAGACCUUGCUAACACAAAAAACCUCUUCACAUUUAUAACCAGAUGUGCAAGCCACUCCUAUGGCCAGUGAAGAUAAACCAGAAAAAAAAGAUUUUAUUUUGCUAGUGUUAUUAAACUGCUUCAGAGACCAGAAUAAAUUCUAGCAGUGGAUACA